CGGAGGAUCCAAGCGUUAUCCGGAAUCAUUGGGUUUAAAGGGUCCGUAGGCGGUUUUAUAAGUCAGUGGUGAAAUCCGGCAGCUCAACUGUCGAACUGCCAUUGAUACUGUAGGACUUGAAUUAUUGUGAAGUAACUAGAAUAUGUAGUGUAGCGGUGAAAUGCUUAGAUAUUACAUGGAAUACCCAUUGCGAAGGCAGGUUACUAACAAUACAUUGACGCUGAUGGACGAAAGCGUGGGGAGCGAACAGGAUUGGAUACCCUGGUAGUCCACGCCGUAAACGAUGGAUACUAGCUGUUUGGAAGCAAUUCUGAGUGGCUAAGCGAAAGUGAUAAGUAUCCCACCUGGGGAGUACGAACGCAAGUUUG
rnacentral:rRNA from 1 species